rnacentral:rRNA from 1 species
GAUGAACGCUGGCGGCGUGCCUAAUACAUGCAAGUCGAGCGAAAAGAUAAUGAGCUUGCUCCUUUGACGUUAGCGGCGGACGGGUGAGUAACACGUGGGUAACCUUCUUAUAUGACUGGGAUAACUUCGGGAAACAGGAUCUACUAAUGGAUCACACUUCGAACCGCAUGGUUCUAAAGUGAAAGAUGGCUUUGCUAUCACUUUUAGAUGGACUCGCGUCGUAUUAGCUAGUUGGUAAGGUAACGGCUUACCAAGGCGACGAUACGUAGCCGACCUGAGAGGAUGAUCAGCCACACUGGAACUGAGACACGGUCCAGACUCCUACGGGAGGCAGCAGUGGGGAAUCUUCCGCAAUGGGCGAAAGCCUGACGGAGCAACGCCGCGUGAGUGAUGAAGGGUUUCGGCUCGUAAAGCUCUGUUAUUAGGGAAGAAAAGAUGUGUAAGUAACUGUGGACGUCUUGACGGUACCUAAUCAGAAAGCAACGGCUAACUACGUG